UCGCAUGGGCCUUGCCCGCGACAAACCAUUCAAGUUUCUGCCCCAUCAGCUGUCGAUGGUAGUGUAUUGGACUACCAUGGCUUUUACGGGUAACGGAGGAUUAGGGUUCGAUUCCGGAGAGGGAGCCUGAGAAACGGCUACCACAUCUAAGGAAGGCAGCAGGCGCGUAAAUUACCCAAUCCUGACUCAGGGAGGUAGUGACAAGAAAUAACGGACCGUGCCUAUAAAGCCGGGACUGGAAUGAGACGAAUUUACACCCAUUGUCGAUCACCAAUUGGAGGGCAAGUCUGGUGCCAGCAGCCGCGGUAAUUCCAGCUCCAAUAGCGUAUAUUAAAGUUGUUGCAGUUAAAAAGCUCGUAGUUGGAUUUCUGGCAGGGAGUGAGGACCCGCACGCAGCGUGGCGCCUCCUCUCCCUACCAUCCUUCUGUUAAACCGUCGGGUCUUCACCGACCAGGCGGCGGCUCAGAUAAUUUACCUUGAGAAAAUUAGAGUGUUUCAGGCAGGCCGACGCCGGGAUACAUUAGCAUGGAAUAAUGGAAUAGGACUGUCGCCUCUUCUGUUGGUCUGAGGGGUGGCCGUAAUGAUUAAUAGGGAUAGUUGGGGGCAUUAGUACUUAACUGUCAGAGGUGAAAUUCUCGGAUUUGUUAAAGACUAACUUAUGCGAAAGCAUUUGCCAAGGAUGUUUUCAUUAAUCAAGAACGAAAGUUAGGGGAUCAAAGACGAUCAGAUACCGUCCUAGUCUUAACCAUAAACUAUGCCGACUCGGGAUUGGAGGCAGGAAAUGUCCGCCUUCAGCACCGUAUGAGAAAUCAAAGUCUUUGGGCUCUGGGGGGAGUAUGGUCGCAAGGCUGAAACUUAAAGGGAUUGACGGAAGGGCACCACCAGGCGUGGAGCUUGCGGCUCAAUUUGACUCAACACGGGGAAACUUACCAGGUCCAGACAUAGU
rnacentral:rRNA from 1 species